ACUAUGCUUGGCCCUAAACCUCAGUAGUUAGAUAACAAAACUACUCGCCAGAAUACUACAAGCAACAGCUUGAAACUCAAAGGACUUGACGGUGCUUUACAUCCCCCUAGAGGAGCCUGUUCUAUAAUCGAUAAACCCCGAUCCACCCCACCCUCUCUUGCUCAGCCUAUAUACCGCCAUCUUCAGCAAACCCUAAUGAAGGUCACAAAGUGAGCGCAAGCGCCGCCACCGCCGCGAAUACGUUAGGUCAAGGUGUAGCCUAUGAGACGGUAAAAAAUGGGCUACAUUUUCUAUCUCAGAAAAUUCCACGAAAACCCUUAUGAAAUUUAGGGGUCCAAGGAGGAUUUAGCAGUAAAUUAAGAAUAGAGUGCUUAAUUGAACCAGGCCAUAAAGCGCGCACACACCGCCCGUCACUCCUCUCAAAUAUACUUAAGGAACAUCUUAACUAAACGCCCUAAUAUUUAUAUAGAGAGGAUAAGUCGUAACAUGGUAAGCGUACUGGAAGGUGCGCUUGGAUAAAU
rnacentral:rRNA from 1 species